UGUGGUCCAAAAUUUUCAUCAUCCUCAAUCCCUUGUUUUACUUCUGCAUCACAUGUUUGAACCUUGUCAUGUUGAUCAGUAUAGCUAGUGGUGUUUAUUUUGGCAGUGUCAUCAUCUACACAUUGUUUUGUUUGUUCCUCUUCGUUAGGUUUUUUCUCUGUAAUGUCUUCAUCCAGCUGUAUCUGUUCUUCUUUAGUGUCAUCAACUCUUUCGGUUACGAUCGCAACUGCAAUUCCUAUUGGUUGCCGAAUUUGAUUUUCUGGAUAUUAAGAAUCAAUCAUUUACAUGAAUUCUGCUAUCUUAUUAUUUAAAUGCAUGUACAGGUUCUUUGCAAAAUAAAAAAUAGUCGCAGUGGCUCAUAUAGCUCCCAUAUUUGCCAAGGAAUUACUGUACACAUUUUAUCGUCCGGAUUUAGUAGUGAGUAAAACAGCCAUUUUCAUCUAAACACGUGUUUUUAAAUUUCUAUAUACAAUAAAUAAUAUUCUUUCACGUAAAGUACUGUUUAGUUUUAUUUUCUUUACAGUAUUGAAGUUUUUGUUUUGGUUAGUGUUUUUCAGUAAAAACCGGUUCUAAAAUUUCAAAACAUAGUUACCUUCAAUUUCUGAGUUGUCGGUCUUCAAAUCAGCAAAUGUUUUGGAAUCUGUUUCUUCCUCUGCUUUAAUUUUUGUUGCAUCGCUGGUGGCUGAAUUCUCUGUUACUUUGCUGAUAUUGUCCUUGGUCUCGGAUUUUUCAGUUUCCUAGUUGAAUUUGUGAAAUGUAUGUGUAAAAUUUCAUUCAUAAGUUACGAAAAUUAUUGAUUUUAUUUUCAAAGUAGAUGCAAUAUAUGUAAAGUUUUACUAAUUUAAACCACUAAGGCCUAACCUGAGCAAAAGUUGUAUUUCUUCCAAGUUCAAUUUCUUCUAUGCAACUUUGCUUGACAUAAUCAAUAGUUUCUGAUUCAUCAACAUGCAGUAAUUCUUGCUGUAAGAUUUUUUCAGUGUCCAUUUGAACAGAGGCAGGAGUGAGUGUUAGGACUUCUUCCUUGGGUAACUGCAUUUUGCUUGAUUCUGCUGUAGCUUGGUCUUCUAUCUGUGGUCCUAAAUUUUCAUCAUCCUCAAUCCCUUGUUUUACUUCUGCAUCAGAUGUUUGAACCUUAUCAUGUUGAUCAGUAUAGCUAGUGGUGUUUACUUUGGCAGUGUCAUCAUCUACAUAUUGUUUUGUUUGUUCCUCUUCGUUAGGUUUUUUCUCUGUAAUGUCUUCAUCCAGCUGUAUCUGUUCUUCUUUAGUGUCAUCAACUCUUUCAGUUACGAUCGCUACUGAAAUUCCUAUUGGUUGCCGAAUUUGAUUUUCUGGAUAUUAAGAAUCAAUCAUUUACAUGAAUUCUGCUAUCUUAUUAUUUAAAUGCAUGUGCAGGUUCUUUGCAAAAUAAAAAAUAGUCGCAGUGGCUCAUAUAGCUCCCAUAUUUGCCAAGGAAUUACUGUACACAUUUUAUCGACCGGAUUUAGUAGUGAGUAAAACAGGCAUUUUCAUCUCAAUACUUGUUUUUAAAUUUCUAUAUACAAUAAAUUAUAUUUCUUUCACGCAAAGUACUGUUUAGUUUUAUUUUCUUUACAGUAUUGAAGUUUUUCUUUUGGUUAGUGUUUUUGAGUAAAAACCGGUUCUAAAAUUUCAAAACAUAGUUACCUUCGAUUUCUGACUUGUCGGUCUUGAAAUCAGCCAAUGUUUUGGAAUCUGUUUCUUCCUCUGCUUUAAUUUUUGUUGCAUCGCUGGUGGCUGAAUUCUCUGUUACUUUGCUGAUAUAGCUAGUGGUGUUUAUUUCGGCAGUGUCCUCAUCUACAAAUUGUGUUGUUUGUUCCUCUUCGUUAGGUUUUUUCUCUGUAAUGUCUUCAUCCAGUUGUAUCUGUUCUUCUUUAGUGUCACCAACUCUUUCGGUUACGAUCGUUAGUGCAAUUCCUAUUGGUUGCCAAACUUGAUCUUCUGGAUAUUAAGAAUCAAUGAUUUACAUAAAUAUUGGCAUCUUAUUAUUUAAGUGCAUGUACAGGUUUUUUGCAAAAUAGAAAAUAGUCCCAGUGGCUCAUAAAGCUCCCAUAUUUGCCAAGGAAUUACUGUACACAUUUUAUCGUCUGGAUAUAGUAGUGAGUAAAACAGCCAUUUUCAUCUAAACACGUGUUUUUAAAUUUCUAUGUACAUUAAAUAAUAUUUCUUUCACGCGAAGUAGUGUUUAGUUUUAUUUUCUUUACAGUAUUGAAGUUUUACUUUUGGUUAGUGUUUUUGAGUAAAAACCGGUUCUAAAAUUUCAAAACAUAGUUACCUUCGAUUUCUGACUUGUCGGUCUUGAAAUCAGCCAAUGUUCUGGAAUCUGUUCCUUCCUCUGCUUUAAUUUUUGUUGCAUCGCUGGUGGCUGAAUUCUCUAUUACUUUGCUGAUAUUGUCCUUGGUCUCGGGUUUUUCAGUUUCCUAGUUGAAUUUAUGAAAUGUUUGUGUGAAAUUUCUUUCAUAAGUUACGAAAAUUAUUGAUUUUAUUUUCAAAGGAGAUGCAAUAUAUGUAAAGUUUUACUAAUUUAAACCACUUAGGCCUAACCUGAGCAAAAGUGGUAUUUCUUCCAAGUUCAAUUUCUUCUAUGCAACUUUGCUUGACAUAAUCAAUAGCUUCUGAUUCAUCAACAUGCAGUAAUUCUUGCUGUAAGAUUUUUUCAGUGUCCAUUUGAACAGAAGCAGGAGUGAGUGUUAGGACUUCUUCCUUGGGUAACUGCAUUUUGCUUGAUUCUGCUGUAGCUUGGUCUUCUAUCUGUGGUCCUAAAUUUUCAUCAUCCUCAAUCCCUUGUUUUACUUCUGUAUCAGAUGUUUGAACCUUGUCAUGUUGAUCAAUAUAGCUAGUGGUGUUUAUUUCGGCAGUGUCCUCAUCUACACAUUGUGUUGUUUGUUCCUCUUCGUUAGGUUUUUUCUCUGUAAUGUCUUCAUCCAGCUGUAUCUGUUCUCCUUUAGUGUCAUCAACUCUUUCGGUUAAGAUCGCUAUUGAAAUUUCUAUUGGUUGCCGAACUUGAUCUACUGGAUAUUAAGAAUCAAUUAUUUACAUAAAUUGUGCCAUCUUAUUAUUUAAGUGCAUGUACAGGUUUUUUGCAAAAUAGAAAAUAGUCCCAGUGGCUCAGAAAGCUCCCAUAUUUGCCAAGGAAUUACAGUACAUAUUUUAUCGUCUGGAUAUAGUAGUGACUAAAACAGCCAUUUUCAUCUAAACACGUGUUUUUAAAUUUCUAUAUACAUUAAAUAAUAUUUCUUUCAAGCAAAGUACUGUUUAGUUUUAAUUCUUUACAGUAAUGAAGUUUUUCUUUUGGUUAGUGCUUUCGAGUGAAAACCGGUUCUAAAAUUUCAAAACAUAGUUACCUUCGAUUUCUGACUUGUCGGUCUUGAAAUCAGCCAAUGUUCUGGAAUCUGUUCCUUCCUCUGCUUUAAUUUUUGUUGCAUCGCUGGUGGCUGAAUUCUCUGUUACUUUGCUAUUAUUGUCCUUGGUCUCGGGUUUUUCAGUUUCCUAGUUGAAUUUAUGAAAUGUUUGUGUGAAAUUUCUUUCAUAAGUUACGAAAAUUAUUGAUUUUAUUUUCAAAGGAGAUGCAAUAUAUGUAAAGUUUUACUAAUUUAAACCACUUAGGCCUAACCUGAGCAAAAGUGGUAUUUCUUCCAAGUUCAAUUUCUUCUUUGCAACUUUGCUUGACAUAAUCAAUAGUUUCUGAUUCAUCAACAUGCAGUAAUUCUUGCUGUAAGAUUUUUUCAGUGUCCAUUUGAACAGAUGCAGGAGUGAGUGUUAGGACUUCUUCCUUGGGUAACUGCAUUUUGCUUGAUUCUGCUGUAGCUUGGUCUUCUAUCUGUGGUCCUAAAUUUUCAUCAUCCUCAAUCCCUUGUUUUACUUCUGUAUCAGAUGUUUGAACCUUGUCAUGUUGAUCAGUAUAGCUAGUGGUGUUUAUUUCGGCAGUUUCCUCAUCUACACAUUGUGUUGUUUGUUUCUCUUCGUUAGGUUUUUUCUGUGUAAUGUCUUCAUCCAGCUGUAUCUCUUCGUCUUUAGUGUCGUUAACUCUUUCGGUUACGAUCCCUACUGCAUUUCCUUUUGGUUGCCGAACUUGAUCUUCUGGAUAUUAAGAAUCAAUCAUUUACAUAAAUUGUGGCAUCUUAUUAUUUAAGUGCAUGUACAGGUUCUUUUGAAAACAAAAAAUAGUCCCAGUGGCUCAUAUAGCUCCUAUAUUUGCCAAGGAAUUACUGUACACAUUUUAUCGUCCGCAUAUAGUAGUGAGUAAAACAGCCAUUUUCAUCUAAGCACGUGUUUUUAAAUUUCUAUGUACAUUAAAUAAUAUUUCUUUCACGCGAAGUAGUGUUUAGUUUUAUUUUCUUUACAGUAUUGAUGUUUUUAUUUUGGUUAGUGUUUUCGAGUGAAAACCGGUUUUAAACUUUCCAAACAUAGUUACCUUCUAUUUCUGACUUGUUGGUCUUGAAAUUAACCAAUGAUUUGGAAUCUGUUUCUUCCACUGCUUUGACUUUUGUUGCAUCGCUGGUGGCUGAAUUCUCUGUUACUUUGCUGUUAUUGUCCUUGGUCUCGGGUUUUUCAGUUUCCUAGUUGAAUUUGUGAAAUGUAUGUGUAAAAUUUCUUUCAAAAGUUAUGAAAAUUAUUGAUUAUUUUUCGAAGGAGAUGUAAUAUAUGUAAACUUUUACUAAUUUAAACCACUUAGGCCUAACCUGAGCAAAAGUGGUAUUUCUUCCAAGUUCAAUUUCUUCUUUGCAACUUUGCUUGACAUAAUCAAUACCUUCUGAUUCAUCAACAUGUAGUAAUUCUUGCUGUAAGAUUUUUUCAGUGUCUAUUUGAACACAGGCAGGAGUGAGUGAUAUUGUUAGUACUUCUUCCCUGGGUAACUGCAUUUUGCUUGAUUCUGCUGUAGCUUGG
rnacentral:lncRNA from 1 species